rnacentral:lncRNA from 1 species
GGCGGAUAAGGGGAGCGCUGUGGAGCGCGGGGCCUGACGGGACUUGUAGUCCUGGCUCGGUUAAGCCGCCAUGGAGCCGCUGUGCAUGACGGGGCUUGUAGGCUCAAAGUCGCUAAAAUGGCGCCGACACCAGGCCCCGCCUCCAGGUGCUGUUCCCGGGUGCUGAUUGGUUGCAGACAUUGAUAGGCGGGAGCCUCAGCCAAUGGGAGGCGGCAGAGGCGGGACCAGCCCAUUCAACCCCUCCAGUCCCUCCCAGUAAAACCCAGUUAAUCCCAGUCCAGGCUAGUUCCUCCCAGUACAGCCCCAGUGCCCCUCCAGUCCCUCCCAGUGCAGCCCAGUUUGCCCCUGUGCCUCCCAGUAUCUCCCAGUUCUACCAGUGCCACUCCCAGUUCGUCCCAGUCCAUCCCAGUUUGUCCCAGUGCAUCCCAGUGCCACUCCCAGUCUGUCCCAGUGCUCCCAGCAUCCCCCAGUGUCACUCCCAGUUCAUCCCAGUAUCCCCCAGUUCAUCCCAGUCCUUCCGCGGCCAAACCUCUGCCCUCCCCCAUAUUUGGCCACGCCCCUUCCAUUGGUCACGCCCCCUCGUUCCGUGCCCCGCCCCCUCCCAUUUCUCCCCCGCCCCCAUUUCCAGUUCCCGCGGCUGCUCUGGGAAGUUCUGUCCCUGGCCAGAGGCGACACCCCGAUGCCUCCAGUCCCUUCCAGUUCGGUGAGUGCGGGAACUGGGAGGGACUGGGAGGGUCCCCAAAGUGUCCCCAAAGUGUCCCCAAGGUGUCACCAGGGUGUCCCCAAGGUGUCCCCAGGUGUCCACAGGUGUCCCCAAAGUGUCCCCAAGGUGUCCCCAGGUACUCCCAGGUGUCCCCAACGUGUCCCCAGGUGUCCCCAAGGUACCCCCAGCUGUCCCAGUGUCCCUGUCCCUGUCCCAGACUGGUGUCACCUGCACGUCGGUGGCCUCGCGGUGGCCGCAGUGCUGAGCGUGCUGGGGGUCGUCGUCCAGUGAGUGCCGCCCCUGUCACCUGUGUGUCACCUGUGUGUCACCUGUGUGUCACCUGUAUGUCACCUGUGUGUCACCUGUGUCACCUGUGUGUCACCUGUGUCACCUGUGUGUCACCUCUGUGUCACCUCUGUGUCAGCUGUAUGUCACCUGUGUGUCACCUGUGUCACCUGUGUGUCACCUGUGUGUCACCUGUGUGUCACCUGUGUCACCUGUGUGUCACCUCUGUGUCACCUCUGUGUCACCUCUGUGUCCCCUCAGGUGGGAAGUGCAAGUGCCGGAGCAAGGCCAGGUGA